rnacentral:rRNA from 1 species
UACGGAGGUGGCAAGCGUUGCUCGGAAUCACUGGGCGUAAAGGGCGCGUAGGCGGGGAGGUAAGUCGGGGGUGAAAUCCCUCGGCCCAACCGAGGAACUGCGCCCGAGACUGCUUCUCUUGAGUCCCGGAGAGGAAGAUGGAAUUCCCGGUGUAGCGGUGAAAUGUGUAGAGAUCGGGAGGAACACCGGUGGCGAAGGCGGUCUUCUGGACGGUGACUGACGCUGAGGCGCGAAAGCGUGGGGAGCAAACAGG